rnacentral:rRNA from 1 species
GUUGGCCUCGGAUCAGGUGGGGAUACCCGCUGAACUUAAGCAUAUCAAUAAGCGGAGGAAAAGAAACCAACAGGGAUUGCCUCAGUAACGGCGAGUGAAGCGGCAACAGCUCAAAUUUGAAAUCUGGCUCACGCCCGAGUUGUAAUUUGUAGAGGAUGUUUCGGGUGAAGCCGCGGUCCAAGUCCCUUGGAACAGGACGUCAUAGAGGGUGAGAACCCCGUACCUGGCCGCCGGUGCCCCCCGCUGUGAAACUCCUUCGACGAGUCGAGUUGUUUGGGAAUGCAGCUCUAAAUUGGUGGUAAAUUCCAUCUAAAGCUAAAUACCGGCCAGAGACCGAUAGCGCACAAGUAGAGUGAUCGAAAGAUGAAAAGCACUUUGAAAAGAGAGUUAAAAAGUACGUGAAAUUGUUGAAAGGGAAGCGCUUGCGGCCAGACUUGCCUGCAGUUGCUCAUCCCGCCUUUUGGCGGGUGCACUCUUCUGCAGUCAGGCCAGCAUCGGUUUGGGCGGUCGGAUAAAGGCGUUGGGAACGUAGCCUCCCCUCGGGGAGGUGUUAUAGCCCGGCGCGCAAUGCGACCAGCCCGGACCGAGGUUCGCGCUUUGCUAGGAUGCUGGCGUAAUGGCCGUAAGCGGCCCGUCUUGAAACACGGACCAAGGAGUCUAACAUCUAUGCGAGUGUUUGGGUGUCAAACCCGUGCGCGUAAUGAAAGUGAACGGAGGUGGGAACCGCAAGGUGCACCAUCGACCGAUCCUGAUGUCUUCGGAAGGAUUUGAGUAAGAGCAUAGCUGUUGGGACCCGAAAGAUGGUGAACUAUGCGUGAAUAGGGUGAAGCCAGAGGAAACUCUGGUGGAGGCUCGCAGCGGUUCUGACGUGCAAAUCGAUCGUCAAAUUUGCGUAUAGGGGCGAAAGACUAAUCGAA